rnacentral:rRNA from 1 species
CCAUCCUGGGGCUGAAGGCGGUCCCAAGGGUCCGGCUGUUCGCCGGUUAAAGGGGUACGUGAGUUGGGUUCAGAACGUCGUGAGACAGUUCGGUCUCUAUCCGCCGUGGGCGCAGGAGGCUUGAGGGAACCUCUUCCUAGUACGAGAGGACCGGAAGGGAUAGACCUAUGGUGUGCCAGUUGUUCCGCCAGGAGCAGCGCUGGGUAGCCAUGUCUAGAAUUGAUAAGCGCUGAAGGCAUCUAAGCGCGAAGCUGCCCCCAAGAUGAGGCCUCCCUUCCCUAUUAAGUUAGGGAGUAAGACUGCAGAGAGACUAUCUGCUUGAUAGGCCGGAUGUGUAAGGAUAGUAAUAUCUUCAGCAUACCGGUACUAACCGGUCGAGAGGCUUGACCUAC